rnacentral:rRNA from 1 species
UACGAAGGGAGCUAGCGUUGUUCGGAAUCACUGGGCGUAAAGCGCACGUAGGCGGAUGUGUCAGUCAGGGGUGAAAUCCCGGAGCUCAACUUCGGAACUGCCUUUGAUACAGCACGUCUUGAGUCCGAUAGAGGUGGGUGGAAUUCCUAGUGUAGAGGUGAAAUUCGUAGAUAUUAGGAAGAACACCGGUGGCGAAGGCGGCCCACCGGAUCGGUACUGACGCUGAGGCACGAAAGCGUGGGGAGCAAACAGG